GACUAAAUAACAACAGCAAAUCACCACGCACUUAUGUGUCUCAGUUUCGCCUUCUAUUUACAGAUGCGCUAUAGCUGUUGCGCACUAUCCAAGAAUAAACUCCCUUGGUCUGAUGUAUGUGAUGAGUGAUGAGCUCAAAACUACUGGUGCCAUCCACUGGGUCCUCAGUCCCAGUUUGCCACCUCAUCCCUCUCCUGGUUCCUAUCCUUGUCCAAGUCCGAAAUCGACGCCUGCCAGUCUCAUCUGCUCAAGCUCUCGACACUUUUCCGUUUCCUCCUUAUUCAUAAAAAAUCUGCAUAUGGAUCCAUCUGCCUCCAACUGUUUGUUGCGGUACGGCUCUCAUUUCUAUUGCACCGGUGUUAGAUUGGGGUUGUGAGGGGAUGUAAGUUAGUGGGAGAGCGUGGUAAUAGAUAGCUCUGAAUUAUGGGUGAUGGGAAGGGGUGCGGUCCCACCCGCAAUUCGAAGGCAAUUUCUAAUGAACUCCUGCCACCCUGCAGAAACUAUAUUCAAGAAAACGACAAGUUGUUGUGAUUUUAUUUUGGCUAGAAACAGCAUAAUCAUAAUUACAAGACCACUGAAAACCCUUUUAGAUCAAAAGAUGACCACUUUCUUUAAGAUGCUCCUUUAGCUUAAGUUUUAUCUGCUUUUAUCUGUUAUUUUUCAUCCACUGUCCUGUAAUGUUGAACAAACCACACUUUGAAUUCUAAUGUGAUCUAUUUUUUUUAUUCCUUUUCCUCUUUAUCUUAUCCCAAUACCCCAGGAUUGUUAUCAGCCUCUGCAAGUGACUCUGUAAUUGUGCUCAUCCAGAAAAAAAAGGCCAAGACACCAAGAAUCCUUCACUGUUGGUUAUUUGCUCAUUUAGUGUUAGAGGCAACCAUAACACUCUAUCAAAGUUUAAUUAUGAAACUUGUUCCUUUAGCAUGUCAUGAAAUGGUACUAAAUUGUUUUUAUUGUUCUUGUCUGAAACGUUUUACUCUUUGGAGGACAAAUACUUUGGAAGUAGCUUUAUUGGUUGAAUAGUUCCUAUGUAAUGGCUUGAAGCAUCUAAAGCAGAUCCAAUCUGACAACAAUCUCGUGACAUUAAAGGAGAGCCAUGACUAUUUUAUUAAGCUAUAAUUGUGUUUUAUGGUUAAACAUCUUGCUAAAAUGG
rnacentral:lncRNA from 1 species